rnacentral:rRNA from 1 species
GGUGAACCUGCGGAGGGAUCAUUACACAAUAACAAGGCGGGCUGGACACCCCCCGCUGGGCACUGCUUCACGGCGUGCGCGGCGGGGCCGGCCCUGCUGAAUUAUUCACCCGUGUCUUUUGCGUACUUCUUGUUUCCUGGGUGGGCUCGCCCGCCCUCAGGACCAACCACAAACCUUUUGCAAUAGCAAUCAGCGUCAGUAACAACGUAAUUAAUUACAACUUUCAACAACGGAUCUCUUGGUUCUGGCAUCGAUGAAGAACGCAGCGAAAUGCGAUACGUAGUGUGAAUUGCAGAAUUCAGUGAAUCAUCGAAUCUUUGAACGCACAUUGCGCCCUUUGGUAUUCCAAAGGGCAUGCCUGUUCGAGCGUCAUUUGUACCCUCAAGCUUUGCUUGGUGUUGGGCGUCUUUUGUCUCCAGCUUCGCUGGAGACUCGCCUUAAAGUCAUUGGCAGCCGGCCUACUGGUUUCGGAGCGCAGCACAAGUCGCACUCUCUAUCAGCAAAGGUCUAGCAUCCAUUAAGCCUUUUUUUCAACUUUUGACCUCGGAUCAGGUAGGGAUACCCGCUGAACUUAAGCAUAUCAAUAAGCGG